rnacentral:lncRNA from 1 species
UUUUUUUUUUUUUUUUUUUGUGUUGGUCAAGUGUAGGCCGAAUUUGUGGUUUAAUGUAAUGCCUUUGUGUUUGAUUAGGAUAUACCGGUUGGGAAAUCGAUUCAGUUCAAGUUCAUACUAAAAGAAAGCACAGGGAAUAUCUCAUGGCAGCCUGGCCCUGAUCGGAUUUUCCAGACCUGGGAAACUAGGAACAGGAUCACUGUUUCUGAAGAUUGGGCAGAUGCUGAGCUUCAGAAAAUAAUAGAGGAAGAUCGGGUUUCAAAUCAAAGCGAUGGUUCAAAUGUUAACGCAGAUAUGUUGAUUAUGGAUGAGAACCUGACACAGCUGAAUGGUGAACUGGCCUUCAAUACAACCAAUGAUCCUAAAAUCACCAAUAGUAACACUGAUUCGGCAGAGAACCCAUCAGUAGAACCAAGGAAGGAACAAAUUGGUGCUGAUAAUGGUUCUCCUUCACAAGAGAAUAUGACCCCUAAAUGGCCAAAGGCAUACGUGGAACCAUACAAGGAACGAGUUGCUGCAAGAACUGCAGUGCUUAAUGAAGAGAGAGUUAUUUUUCCGAGCAAGGAUUCUGCAGCCAUCUCAAGUAAGGAGUUGUUGGUGGCAGACAACAUUUUCGGAAAUAAUGGUAGAGCUGCAACAGUAAUGAACCUUACGAGCACUCACAUCGAGGGAAGCCUAGUUAACCAUGAAGAAGAUCCUGUUCUGGUACCUGGGCUGACUCCUUCACCAGCUGUUCCAAAUGAAGAAGUGAACAAAGAGGGAAUCGAGAAACAGAUGUCUUUUGAUGGCUCGGUUGGAGCCUUUGAAGCUAAGGAUCGUAAUAUGCCAGAGGUAACUGCUUGAUGAGCGUGAAGUAUCUUUUAUCUUUUUCUGUUUCUUCUUGUACUGCAUUCACCUCAGCCUGAAAUAACAAUCCAUUCAAUUUCCACAAAAUCGCGAGUUGUCAAGGGCUAUAGGAGAGAUUGAAUUACUAGGUAGUUUUUGGUUUCAUCUUGUAUGUUGUUGGAAUCUAUGUUUUCCAUGAAGAGAAUUUCAUGAUGAUGAUGUAUCGCAAGGCAAUUAUUUAAUUUCAUCGAAAUUGAGCAGUCAUCUAUAUAUUUUCAUGAAGAAUUGUUCAUGUAUUUUUGUUAGACCAUGUUCGUGCAAUAUCAUUGCAGUGUAAACGUUGUAUGCUACUAUACAAAUCCGUAGCCAUGUAUUCUCCUAUUGCAAAUCCAAACUGCGCUGUCUGAUUCAACUGAAACUAUUAACCCUCGCAAUAUGACAACGAAUUCUCUAUCAAGCAUUUCGUUUAUAUCUUUUGUUUCUGCUGGAAAUUCAUGAGCAUUUAGAGGAACCCUAUUCCUAAAAACAUGUGAAAGAGUUCAUGAUGAAUGAUUUCGUUGCUGUGCAUAAGGCCAAAGAGAAGUGGAAUCUUCGGUUCUUGAAUUUGGUGUGUUUUCUGAAACAGAGCAAGCCCGUGAUCAGACCGAUCAUUUGCCUCUCAUCAAAAACCCAGGUGGAUUCUUUUAUCUUUUUUCUGAAUAGUUAUCAUAAAUUCAGUUUUUUCAUUUCCUGGUUUUUGAAAUUUUGAUGAAGUUUCCAUUUUCGCUUUCUCCGUUUUCAAAAAUUCUGGAGUGUGAUGUUGUUCUUGUUUUUUGUCAUCAUUCUUUUCUUUGUGUAAAGUUUAGGAAUCUUGCUUUUUAGGUUGGGGCUCAAGAGGGUUUUGCUAGAUUCUCAUUAUUUUUUCCUUUUUUUGGAGUAGAUUAUUAUAUGGAAGCUUUAUUAUAUAAUCAUGUGAUUUUAUUUGUUUAAUCUUGUCUAAGCCGACAUUCACCUCUCCCAGACCCUGCGUAAAGCGGGAGCCUUGUGCACUGGAUACGACCUUUUUAAUCUUGUCUAAGCCUUCUGAUAUUUGUCAUAAUUUGUUUUCUUUCUUUAGGGAUGUAGUCAUCAUUUAGAAUAUUUGUUUGAAGAAUUUGUUUCCAUGUCAUAAAGUGUUAAUGGUUAUUAAGUUAGUUACUGGAGAAUAAACUUGCACUGAGAUAGUCAAUCUGAUUUCUGAGCAUUCUCUCUGCAGACAGAAUUGGAGAUUGCAGAUUCUCAAAUUCAGGAAACAUGUAAGUUCAUGCUGUUUCUUUUAAAAUAUUAUAUAAUACAUACAUACAUACAUAUAUAUAUAUAUGUGUGUGUGUGUGUGUGUAUGUGCAUAUUAAUCUUACUAACAAUACCAUGUCGUGCAGAUCAUACAAAAACUAUUCGUGUGAGAUUCCAGUUGCAGAAGGAGUGCUCGUUCGGGCAGGAGUUCCUCAUUGUAGGGGAUGAUCCUAUGUUCGGUUUGUGGGAUCCUGCAAGCGCAAUACCUAUGAACUGGUCAGAUGGGAAUGUAUGGACUGUUGAGCUGGUGAGUGAAAUCUACUAAAAAGUGUAAUUUUUUUUUUUUUUUUUUUUGGGUCUAGUAUAGGCAGAAUUUGUGGUUUAAUGUAAUGCGUUUGUGUUUGAUUAGGAUAUAUCAGUUGGGAAAUCGAUUCAGUUCAAGUUCAUACUACAAGAAAGCACAGGGAAUAUCUCAUGGCAGCCUGGCCCUGAUCGGAUUUUCCAGACCUGGGAAACUAUGAACAGGAUCACUGUUUCCGAAGAUUGGGCAGAUGCUGAGCUUCAGAAAAUAAUAGAGGAAGAUCAGGUUUCAAAUCAAAGCGAUGGUUCAAAUGUUAACGCAGAUAUGUUGAAUAUGGAUGAGAACCUGACACAGCCGAAUGGUGAACUGGCCUUCAAUACAACCAAUGAACCGAAAAUCACCAAUAGUAACACUGAUUCGGCAGAGAAACCAUCAGUAGAACCAAGGAAGGAACAAAUUGGUGCUGAUAAUGGUUCUCCUUCACAAGAGAAUGUGAACCCUAAAUGGCCAAAGGCAUAUGUGGAAUCAUACAAGGAACGAGUUGCCACAAGAACUGCAGUGCUUAAUGAAGAGAGAGUUAUUUUUCCAAGCGAGGAUUCUACAGCCAUCUCAAGUAAGGAGUUGUUGGUGGCAGACAACAUCUGCGGAAAUAAUGGUAGAGCUGCAACAGUAAUGAACCUUUCAAGCACUCACGUCGAGGGAAGCCUAGUUAACCACGAAGAAGGUCCUGUUCUGGUACCUGGGCUGACUCCUUCACCAGCUGUUCCAAAUGAAGAAGUGAACAAAGAGGGAAUCGAGAAACAGAUGUCUUUUGAUGGCUCGGUUGGAGCAUUUGAAGCUAAGGAUCGUAAUAUGCCAGAGGUAACUGCUUGAUGAGAGUGAAGUAUCUUUUAUCUUUUGCUGUAUCUUCUUGUACUGCAUUUACCUCAGCCUGAAAUAACAUCCAUUCCAUUUCCAUAAGACCGCGAGUUGUCCAGGGCUAUAGGAGAGAUUCUAUACUACUAGGUAGUUUUUGGUUUCAUCUUGUAUGUUGUUGGAAUCUAUGUUUUCCAUGAAGAGAAGUUCAAGUUGAUGAUGUAUCGCAAGGCAAUUAUUUAAUUUCAUCAAAAUUGAGCAAUCAUCUAUAAAUUCGCAUGAAGAAACUGUUCGUGUAUUUUCGUUACAAUCAUUAACCAACAAAGUUGACCAUCUUCGAUUCUUUGCACAAUAUCAUUGCAGUGUAAUAAACGUUGUAUGCUACAAUACAAAUCCAUAGCCAUGUAUUCUCCUAUUGCAAAUUGAAACUGCGCUGUCUGAUUCAAACUGAAACUAUUAACACUCGCAAUGUGACAAGGAAUUCUCUAUCAAGCAUUUCGUUUGUAUCUUUUAUUUAUGCUGCUAAUUCAUCAGCAUUUAGAGGAACCCUAUUCCUGAAAAAUGUGAGAGUUCAUGAUGAAUGAUUUUUCUUUGCUAUGCAUAAGGCGAUGCAUUGUUGUCGAACAUCAGUAUUUGAUUUAGAUGUUCUUGGCCCUUGAUAAUGCUGUUAUUGAUGUCCUCUUUUCUGCUAUCUUUUCAUGUACUCAAACCAAUGGAUUCAGUUAGACGAGAAGCGAGAACCAUACAGUGACCUACCUGAAGCAGAAACAAGUGUAAUGACCAACGGCGAUCAGGAGAAUUUUGACGAUGAACAAUUCCACUCAGAGCCCGUCAAUGAUAGUGUCCUGUGCAACGGCCAACCUCAAGUGGAAACAGCUUCCGCGAUCAGUGAGAGAGAGAAUUCUGCUAAGGGGGGAGGACAGUCCAACUCAGAGCCAAUCAACGAGGUCUUGCACAAUGAUAUGCAAUGGGGUCGUAGAAUGCUGCAAAACCUUCUGUCUGACUUCAGAUUGUUUUGGUAUUGACUUUUCCGGAAACCUGGGUAGAGAAUUUCCGGCAUUCACGUCAGCCUGCUGUUACUCUUCCGGCUUUGUUGCUGAAGUUUUGUGGUAGCCUGCAAAGAGGAGAGAGAGGCAAUCUUAUAAACAACGGUUAUAUGUAGAUAUGAUGCAAGAGUGCUCAGGCUUUUGUAUUCUUUUAGUUUGUCAUAUAACUGUGGCAUGAUGUGUGAGAGGAAAAUUUGUACCAAAUACCAAGUUUUGUAAGGAUUUGGUUGCUUUUUUCUAGUACUGUCAUAAAAUGCAGUUGGUCGAAGUGGAAAGCACCUGACUCCGUCUUUCGGAUGUAAAAUAAACGCCUUCUUUUUGUGUUUUUGAUGAGUUAUGUUUUCAUGUGUCGAACUAUUAUAUGAAGAAUGCGAAGGAGCCAAGCAGCGUGCGUGGCUGAAAUUUCUGUUGUGCAUAGCCCUUCGGGUUAGAACAUAAUUAGGAAACCAGUUAGCGAUGAAUUGUGUCAAAUCUCGGGAGAGUUUUGGAUUCCCUCCAUUGUGACCGAAACGGAAAUUAUGCUGUGCAGGAAAAAUGCAGCUUGAAAUUCUGAGUCCAAGAAGUAUCAAAGAAGUUGCUUGCCGAUGCUACCAGCUAACAGGUAGCUGGAGAACAAACUGUACUGACUGAGAUCCAUAUUAGUUAUCAACAAGCACAUUGCGUAUGGAAUUGGGUGCUCUUCACAAUUUCAGGUGCAGGAGUAAAUGCUCUUAACCGACCGAAUUAGAAGCCCUUGCGAGGUCAGUCUAUCCCUAAAUGCUAGUACGUUGACUAUUGAGAUUUACAGCAAGAUUUAAUUAUCCGAGAUUCCGAAGCAAAAUUUAAAUCUUGUUUUAAUUUACAGCAUUUGAUUCCUCCCAUAGAUCCUGAAGCAAGAACAUAUAGUGGACAUCAAAAUUUAUCAUUUCCAACACCAUAUUUUCUGGAGAAAUGAUUUCCGCACCCUUCUUCCCACUACUGUUUAUUUUUAGCAAUCAAAGGAUAAUCGAAUGAAUCACAUUAACAUGAGUAUGCAAAAAUCAGUCUAGUCUAUCUGUAUCGUAUCGAAUUCAUAUGACUAGGGUACGAAGAUGUGAAAAAGAUUUGAAAAGGAACCAACACAAUGUAAUUACUUAUGGACUUUGACGGGAUAAUACAAUUCCUUCGUUUUGAGAACAAGAUGGUCUUAAAUUUCAGGUUCCAUGCUGCAAUCUUAUGAUCAGUAAAAUCUACGUAAAAAUUUUCAAGGGGAAAAAUGUGAACUAUAUUCAGAGAUGCAAUCCCCAACCUCAAUAUGUAAGCAGGAAAAGAUGGGGCAAGAUGAAAAAAGAAACACAAAGAAUUUGCCCAGCUUUCCACCAACAAAAUAUACACAUACCCGCGUUGGCAAUAUUGAAACUGGCUCUCCGAAAGGGGUAAAUAUAUUCCGAAUUGUACAAGAUGCCGAAGUCGUGUGCCUCCAAAAGCCAGUCUUUCUACUUUUACCUCCUUGUUCCUUUAGUUUUCACAAAGCAUUGGAGGUUGGGGAGAGAUGCAGCCACCUGGACCUCGCCAAGACCAUUGUUUCAUUUGUCGAGUGCAAGAGGAAGAAUGCGCUAGCAGGAGCCAAGAUUGAAAUGACUCGUUUCAAUGUUUGUCUGCAACCCCAUUCUCUGCUGCCGUGAAAAUGAUAAACUUCGUGAACCAUGCAAUAUGUCUUCCUUGGGUCGUUUUGCAACCGACUCUAUCAAUCUGCAAAAAGAUAAUAACUAAAUUGAAAAAUUUAGGAAACACCGACAUUCAUGAAAUAGUAAACAUUGAACUCAAAAAUCUUUUGGAGCCUUUUAUUGUAUAUCCCAGGCAGUGUCUGACCAUAAUCUUGAACUACUUGUCAAUCUUACAGAUAUACAUUUGCGCAUAGGCUAGGAGUUCGUUCUAUUUGACCUCUGGCCUAGCAACACCAAGCGAAAAAAUAAAAAAAUAAAAACUCAAAAAAUGCCUAAAUGAACCAUAAAGACAUCUAAUAUCCAAGCAGAAACACAAAAGAAGCCAUAAAUCAACAUAAAGUAUGACUUGGCCAUAUUAUAUCCAACCAAGAACCCUUCAGGCUUCCAGAAUUGCCCAGCAAAUAACAAAGAUUUGGUUUCAGAAAUGUCUCAGCUCAAACAGGGUGAAAAUAAGUGUUGUGUUACCUUGGGGAACUGGCACGCUUUAGAACUUGCUGACUCACCGUAAAAGUACUUCCAGGUUCAACUUCAGCAGCCUGUAUAUUUGGCAUUGAACACACAGGCAUUAAUCAGGAAAUUCAACGCAAAAGUCAAAAAUAUUACACACUAGAUGGAGGUCUCCUGUUUCCAGUUAAAGGAAGAUAGUAAUUUUGGGUUCAGAAGCUUCCCUCUCACAGGAGAUAAAUGGAAAUGGUUUCACCACAUGCACAAGUUAGAUCCAGCACAAAUAUUGGGAAGAAAAAUGAAAUCUGUGAGAAGUUUAAAACAAGUCUAUGAGAAGUUUAAAAUUCAAGUAGAAGCCAUACAGUGGGGUGGUAAUGGUGAUGAGGAUAUCUAAAAACAUAUCGACUGAGGUACGAAUAAUUGCUAUUCAUUCAAACCAAAAAGAGAAAAGAACAGAGGUAAAUCAAGCACAUGGGAAUACUUGGAUAACGGGUAGAAAUGAGGGACUGACAACCAAGCCCGUACCUUUCAAAACAGGAAUUAAUGGAGCCAAUAAAGCAGCAGUAGCAAACAUUGAGGCCAGCUCAUUCCGCUUACAGUGUUUUAGCCAUCACAUCUUCGUGAGAUGCAAAAUUCAAAAUAGGAGUGGUUCUCCUUUCAGUGUCUUGCCCACAUACCCUUUAUCCAAGCAUCACCUAUGUUUUUGAACAUAGAAAAUCAAAUCAACUAAUGAAAGCAUCAGCAAUUAUCCCCACCUCUGAAGUUCUUUCUUUAGGCGAUCCAUCCCUUAGCAGCUCAGCCGAUCCUGGACCAACCAUGUCCAAUAGAAAUCCGUUUUCAUUUCCUUUAUUUAAAUCUCUGUCCACGGCACCAGAACGAGGUGCAAGAUAUGCUACAUAUUUAUCUGCCAUCCGACACACAAAAUACAUUCAGCACAUACAAACAAAAAUACCACAGAAAACUGCAAGGAAAAAAACGUGGUUAACUAAUAAAGUUACCAGCCAAGCUGUGAAGGGCAUUCUCAGCAGCCUGUUGUUGAGCAUCCUUCCUCGUCCUACCCAUUCCAAAACCUAUCUUCUCUCCAGUGAAAAGAACCUUUAAAAACGAAGUUAACAAUGAGCACGUUAGAGUCCAAAAUUGAUACAAGAUAGCUCCUCAAAACAAAAUAAAGUACAAAUGCAAAAUGUAUAAACAAACAAAUUAAGAAAGGAGCUUUAAAUUUUUUUCCAAAAUUGCUCUUAAAAAAAGACAUUUUCUCCUGGCCGGGUUUCAUUGAUUUGUUCUGCUAAAGAAAGAUUAAUGACAAAUCAGGGUCAGCUUAUAUUUAGAAAACAGCACUCCUUAAGACAACAUUUCAAAUAAAACAUCUAUUGGGUAUAAUUAAGUCAUUUCACAACAACUUCAUACAUAUAAGGCAUAUAAUUUACACAGAACAACAGCUGUGAUGUCAAUAAGCAAUUAAACUACCAAAGUACAAAGGGAAAGAAAGGAAGUUCACUGACCUCAACAGAAAACUGCAAGUCAUUGCUGGUGCUUAAAACAGACCUGAACUCAAUCUGAGCAACGGGCAUAUCAUGGAUAACUCCAUUAGGAAAAAUUAAAAAGAUAAGAAAGAAAGGAGGGCAUGGGGCGCCACAACGGGGGCAUAAAACUAAAGCUAUUCAUACCUUUGAACUGCACCUCCGUCCAAUUUCCUGCAGCACUCCAAUAGAUAAAGGGGAUGGUACCAGGUUUACUUUACCAGAUUCUGUUUGAGAUUCUAUAUUCAAAGAAGAUGCCUGAAUCUGGGAUACACCAGCCUCUGCACCGAAAAACCAAAUCACUCCUCAAAAACACCAUAUACUAUUAAUUCUAAUAGAAAAUUAUAACUUAUCUCGUGAAUUUUUUAUCAAAAACCGUACAAAGACAAAACGAUAAUCCCAUUCCUAUCCUUCCAAGUUGUGGGGUUAACAGGCUACAAGUUAAUAAAAUUAAAACGAAGGAGAUAAAGAUAAAGAUAAAGAUAAAGACAAGGGGAAAGGCUCAUUAGGCACAAAGCAGAAUGAUGUUAAACUAUACUAAGUUGGAAAGACUAUUGGACUAUUGGAAAAGACUGAUGGGAAGACUAUUGGACUCUCCAGUUCUUUUUAAUAUUAAAAAAAAUAUUCCUCAUUUAAACUUAAAAAGUAGAAUGAUGUUAGGCAGCAAGUAUUUUAUAAAAGAAACCUUUCAAACUACUUGAGAGGAUAAGGACAAAUCAAAAGGGAACUUAAAAAUCAAGGUUAAAGGUAAUUUGAAAAUUAAUGGAUAAUAAGUAAAAUAUCUAUUUUUAAGAUUUUCUGAGCUCCAAGGAACAUCAAUGUCUCCCUUGUAUGUUUAAGAUUUUUCAUGAAAUGACCAAAAUGAUUUCCAGACAAAUUCAGGGACCACUUCUAUCGAUUUUCGUUGUCAGCGACCAAAGUGAGGAGUUAUGCCAAUCUUAGGAACCAUUUUGGGUAAAAAUCCUAAAUUAGAUUACCUGAUGGCUGACUUGGCACAGGAAGAUUUUGCAAAUCACACCCAGAUGAUAUCUGCAAAUAGAGAAAGUUUUGGCCACUGAGAUGUUUCUGGAGUUCUUAUAGUAACACCUUAAUUCAAAUUGUCAAAACAAGUCUCUUAAAGAAAUUUUAACAAAUUCUGACCAUACCUCUUCCCUCUUUAAAUCUGAUUUGUGUGAGAGCAAACCAGUGGGUGUCGAACCUGGUUUAGCAGGACUGAAAGGAUUCUGGUAAACUGACUUUUCAGGUUUUGAAACAUCAGGCUGCUGAACAAGCCCAGAAGGGCGAUUACUCGGAUGUCCUCUAUUGUUGUCGUCAUCAUCAACCAACCAUCCUCCUUGUGCAUUUAUUGAGGAUGCUGGCAGUUGUACAGGCACUCUAGAUAGAAGAGGGGGCUCAGCAGAGCUUUGACUCCUUAUAUCUAGAUUAGGAGUUGUACCAAGGAGUCCUCUCCUCAUUUCAUGGUCACGAUCAGAAAAGCUAUCUCGUCUAACAGGAAGUCCAAGCAGACCAGGUUUCUGAGAAGGCAUGACCGGCCUCAAAGAUGUACCGGCAGCAUUGGGAAGAAUUGCAGUCGGUGCUUGAGAGUUGUCACACCUUGACUCGGCAUUUUUCACAGAUUGAACCACUGACUCCACGCUACCCUUAUCAUCAGAUGGGUUCAAUCUUCGUUCCACUUCGCUACCAUUCAUUCCUUCACUAAUGGGAGCAUUAGCAUUUCCAUUUGGUGCAAAACCGGUAUCCUCGAACAUCAAGUAAUUGCUCACAUCAGGAGCAGGAGGCAAAUUUACCACCUCAUCUUCAUAAAAAACUCCAGAAAUUCUUCGCAACAAAAUUUCAUCAAACUCUUUGAAAAAACAACCUCUGACAUUGCAUGCAACAUUUCUUGCUACACAGAGGACUGGAACUGCACUAGCUGUCUCUGCUUGAGGAGCAUAAUAAGGGGUGAAUGCUGGAACAACAUGGACUCGAGGUUGAUCCUUAUCUUCCCAGACCUUGGAACGGUCAUCAAUAACCAUUGCCAUCUUUGGAUGGCACACUCCUUGUUGGAAGACAUUGAGUAAAGAUUUCCUGGAGCCUGAUUUAACACAAACAACACGGUCCAGAAGCUGCUUUGAGUCUAUUAAGUGUGACCCUGGGUCAAGAAGCCUCCACAUUUCUAAGGCAUAAUCUCUUUCAGCCAUAGUACAGACGUAAACUUCAAACCUCUUGCGUCCUUUUGCAGUUAAAUAACUUCUCAAAUCUUCCCAUGCAGGUCGUAACCGCACAAGCACACUGGUAUCGCGAUUCUGCAUUAAAAACAACAUUGUAUUGUAGUCCUUUGCACAUUUGUAUGAGAAUAUGUAGCUACUAUAAUGAGAUUAACUACAUAUCACUCAUUCUACUUUUUUGUAAGAGGACAGAUGUUUUACUAUAUAAGUUCUGACAGCUUCCUGACUAAUCAAACCGCCACAUGAAUUUUGGAAAAUUUAAGAGGUAAAUAUCGCACAGAACGGGUGCAUGUAUCAAUGGAUAAAAAAGUUAACAUCCAUACGUUGAUCAAAAAAGCAAUGCAGGUGUUUGGAAAACCUACAAAGGUCUAGCUAAAUGAAAAAAAAUUUAAAACUGAAUUGCAAACAAGAUUCGCCUACGCUCUUAGCAUGCAGCCAAAUAUUUUGUCUGCCUAAGGGACACACUACGUAGUUUUCAUAACUUUUGCAUUAGGAUGGUGUUGUUCUCAAGUCCUAGGAAUGAGAGAUAUUGCAACGUAUUGUCUCAAUCCGCUCAUUCAUUAUCUCUAAAAAAAGGCAUUUAGCGCACUUCCCAAUCCACCAGGCCAAACAUAUAAAACAAAAGGACACAAACACAUAAAACAUAAAGAAACAAACAUGACUAGAGGAUCACCUCAGGAUUGAUGCGAGUGAGCACAAUGUUCUUCUCUGGCAAUCUAAUGAUAGGCCGAACAAUUUUCUCGUGGUUAUCAGACAGUGGAGGAACCUCCUCUAGUUGUACCUUAUACAACUUUCCAUUAUCCGUCACACAAUCAUUAUCUAUGUACUGCUUCAACAGCCACCUAUCGUCCAUGUACCGCUUCAUUUCAGCAGACAUUCCGGCCAUUCGAACCCCAUCACUCUCGCGUGCAACCCAGCUUCGUAAAGUCUCAACUCUAUCCUCAAAAGACUUCAUGGUGUUGGCAACAAUCAACGUCUCAUCGAGAUCAAACACAAUUGAAAGAACCCUCAGAUUCAGCAUUCCUAGAGAAGCACUGUACAGACCUAGAGGAACCGCAUAGCACCAAAAGCACGGAAAUUUCUUCUGCUUACUCGGCAUGGCUACCAAGUGAAUCUCUUCAUCCCCAACCAACACAGUCGCCGUCUGCGUAACACAAUUAAUCACCGCAUUAGUACACUCCGCUUGAUUAACUCGAAAAUAAAAACAAAAUCUGGAUCACAUUCUUCAUUUAAUCAAGAUACUAAGUGAGCUAACUUUACUAGGUCAGUUUAUCCAAUCAAAUUACAUCCAAAAACUUCAGAUUAAACUUCUAUGCUGCUGGUACAUUUUCUAGGGAACCAAACAAAAAGCUCAAUCUAACAAAACCAACAUAAAAAAAAAGCGAAAUUCGGAAAACGGAAGCGAUUGAGUGGGGACCUUGAACUCAUAGAAACAGGAGGCGUGGAGAUUGAUCAAAUGCGGCUGUUCGACAGGGGAGGACGAUUCGAGUUUGCAUCGAACCGAAAACGAAGAAAUCGUCUGGAGAAUCGAGAGGGGAGGACACCUCUCGCUUUGCUGCGAAAUCCGGUGGAUUCGAAUCUCAUUGUUUGGGAACUGGAAACUCCCCUCCGUCACCGGAAUAGCGUCCAGCUCCCCCAAACACAGCUCGCCAUGGUAGACCACGGACUUAAACCCUAAACGGCUCAUUAAUUUAGAUCAAUCCGAGAACGAAAGCGCGAAAAUUUGAGGCCAAUUCGUAAUUUGAAAAGAUCAGGGGGUUUUCUGUGAAAAAUUUGGGAGUAAUUCUCCAGUUUCGCUCUCUGCUCCUCCUUUCUCACUACUCUCAGACCUCUUCGCCCUCACUCUCUCUCUCUCUCUAACUUUCCCUCUCUAUCUCCCUCUCUCUGCCUACGGCUUCAAACAAUGAGACUCGCCGGGUAUUUAUACGCCCAAGGGGGCAGUUAUGUGUCCAAAUUACCAUUAUAUCCAUUCGGUCCGGACCCAUUGCCUUACGUGUCAUGCCCUUGGCGGGUAGACGAGAAAAUAAUUUGACGCGUGUCGUAUGGAGGAGUCCCAUGAUUUUGAAUGUACGGAUCCGAACCGUUGGAUCGUGGGUCGGAUUUUUGGACUUUUCCGAAUCGUUCAGCUCAAGAGGCAUCAAGAAUUGGCCACCGAAAUACAAAGGUACAGGUCUUUAUUAUUGCGAAAAUAAAAUGAGGCUAUUCAAUAGCCAUCGCGUAUUUCAUUACUUUUCUUCCUUUCCGUCCAAAAUUAGAAAAAAAGAAUAUCGAAUAAUUGAUUCAUCAUUGAGAGGAUUAACUCAAAAAAGACGAAUAUUGUGAUGCUUUAACAGCAACAGUUCAAACAAGACUUUUCCAUUUCGUGUACUGUGGAAAAUACGAUAUUAUUUUAUUUUUUAUUUUUUUAAUUCAGACAGUUAAUUUGAUUUUUGUCAGCUAAUUAACGGAAACCAGGCUGAACUUUGUUAUUACUUACAUGAAAUUUCAAUUUGAAAAUAUAUUUUAUACAUAUAUAUAUAUAUAUAUAUAUAUAAUUAUAAGACCAACAUCAAUGGUUAAGUUAAAAUUCAAAAUUUAAGUUUUAAACUCGUCCAAAAUUUCUCCAAUCAUUGGGCUAUAAAAAUGACUUGGAUUAAGACUUAUUUUUGGGAUAAAUUUAACUGAGAAAACAGACUAAGAUUAAUGGCUGAGACCCAGUUGCUAACUUUGUCAAUCACUUACAAAAUGAAAUUUUAACGAAAAACUUCCAGUACUUUUCACUUUAACGAAAAAUUAUAUUUUUACAUUAAAAAGUUAAUCCUGGUAUUAUUCACUUUAACUUUUAUUUUAUCCUUAUCAUUACAACUCAAAGUUUUUAAAAUUUUUUUUAUUAAUUUUCCUCUUACAAAAUAGCAUCGACUGUUUUUUUUUAUUUUUUUUUAUCUGACGGGCCACAUAGGAUGAGCUGAAACAGGAAAAGUUGUAUUUAUAAUGUUUUGGUACGUAAUUGACCGGGAAUAAACGUCGCGGUCAUAAAGAAUGUUAGUAAGCUGGGUGAGGUCCAUUUGGACUUUAUUUAAAUUGGGGGACUGUGAAAAUGGGCCUCUAGAGAUACUUGGCCCUCAAAAUCCAAUUAGAAGUCUCAAAUAGGAUUUGACAACUCAAUUUAUUGCAUGUGACUCUUUCUUAAUCGGUGAAUUGCAGUAGCGAAAUUACCAGCUGGUCUUUAUUUUUUAAUAAAAAAAAUAGAUUUCCAAAAACAUUUACUUUAUAAAUAAAAGUUUGCUAUUUGUUAGGUUUAUUGCAUGACCACACAUAUACGGGAUUCCAGGGGUUUUUUCCUCUCCUAAUUUUAAUUUUUUCCUCAAAAAAAUAUCAUUCACCUUAUCUCCUAAAAUCCUAAUCCUAAAGCACAGAACCAAGCUCCAAAAUCCAUCAUAACCCACUAAGCAAAAAAAGAAGCAAAAGCACAAAGAACCAAAAAUUAAAGUCAAGAACUUUCUCAUCUGUAAAAUGACAUUGAAAAAACAAAAGCUGGGAACUUUGAAGAAAAGUAGAUUACUGUGGAAUCUGGAACCCUAAGCUGAAAUGGGAGGCUCUGGAAUCCUGCUUAUGUAACGGAAAAGUGCUUUUGCGUUUCUGGGCCUGUAUGGUUUUAACCAAAAACCAAAACCCAAAUGGCAUAGAAACAGAGAAGGCAGAUGGCCGGUGGGAAAGUAAAGGGGGAGGAUUAAAUUGAAAACCCAUGUUGCGUACGAACAAAAGUUUAGGAAAUAGGAAUUGGGUUUAGUGAAUUAUCACUUUUCAGUGGGAAAUUUGAUAAAUUUGAAGAGAUCAAAAGCACCAAUUACAGAAACGAGUGAGAGGAGAGGCUAUGACUGUUCGUGAUGGCUGACAUUGUUUUUCUUGGGUUUAAUCUCUUACCCAAACUGCAAGGGAAGGGACAGAUUAGGCAAAUUUAAAGUGAGGGUUAUGGUGGAGAGGGACUUAAUGGGAGUGAUCACACUCGUAGGUCAAAUUUGAUUGAUUUGGGCAUUCUCCUCCAUAAUUCUUUAGGCAUUUUCUGGUACUGGUAGGUAAUCGGUCACACGGAAACUGCUCAAGUUUCAAACUCACCAAAACCAAGUUUUGUACAAAAGAAAAUAUAUCUUAGUUGAUUUUUUCUUGCUAGGAGGAAAAAUCCUUCUUUCUUGACGCACGAGAGAUUUUUGGGUUAACAUGCGGACGUUAUCAACCCAACUGGUUAACCUUUAUCAACAUUCCCUUCACUUCAAACACCUUAUUUACUGUUCGACAUAAUUAAGUAAGCGGAAGUGAUUUCCGCACUCAUUUUUCUCUCCUGCAUUCCUCCCCUUUUCUUAGGAUUUGGAUUGAAUAGGUCAAAAGAGAAUCAAGAGUCGGAAAAAAGGAGACAAGUGCAAAAGGAGAAAACAGGAAUGUGAAAUUCACUACCUUAAGCAACUCGACGUGGAAUGUUCUAAUAUGACAACAAUAUGAAGAAUGAAACCUUAAUAAUUUCAAGUUUCGUAGUUUGAAGUGAACAGCAAAAUGUAAAUGCCGAAGGAGGUCUUCAGCUUCCAAUCAUCAAAAUAUAAUACGAACAAUCAUGUCUACAGAGAAUAUGGUUCAUUGGAUGCACCUGAUAUUUGUUCCGCUAGCAAUGUGAGGACCGAUAUUCAGAACAGACGUGCACUCACAAGCUUUCUCUAACAUUUACAGUAUUAUCGCGUGCCUUCUACCAUCAGCUCCUUCAGGAAUGAGUUGCCGCUUAAUUAUCAUGCUGAUUAGGCCAACCCCAUGUCAAAUAAUAAUGUUGAGAUAAUGACGAGGAUGGAUGCAAAACCAAUAAUCCGGGGUUGAUGGUCACAUGGGGUGGUCACCUACCUCGAUGGCUUGCAGGAGAGGAAUUUCCUCUCUCACUUCCAAGAUCAAUAUCUUCAACUUCACACCCCUCCAAACUAACAGGAAUGGUGUUGACACUUGGUUCGGAGCUAGCAUUGCUGCAUGUGGCAAGAGGAGAAUCCAUAGCACCAAUUGUAUUGCUUUUUGUUGGUUUUGUUCUGACGCUAUACCCAGAGGAGGCUGGAACAUUUGUCAGAACUGGCCGUAGAUUGCCUGCCAUGCUUCGCUUUAUAUCCUGCAUAAGAAAAUUCCAAAAUUAGUUAAAAACUACUUCUUACAACGAGUGCUUUGCUAGUGACGCGGAUAAUUAUGUAUCACACCAAGCAUAAUUUGGAUAGUACUAAGUGGGUUGCAAGAUCUGAAUGCAGAACAUUACGCAUUAAGUGAAACAAAGUGCACUUGAACAACGAAGGUGAUACAUACCAUGUGCCUCAUAGCCAUAUCAAAGGACUUUUUAGAAAGAUUUCUUCCAAAGCCUGAGCUUUCAGAGGAUGAAGGCUUCCCAGCAGAACCCUUAAGAGUAGUGUAAUGGUCAUAUUGCUUAGGUGGUGCCAAUCUCCUCGAGUUUACUACUCUCUCAACCAUUUGUGUUCCCAUAAGUACAGGGUUCACAUCAUCAUUGUCAUGGGCAGAUGCUCUGCUUAUGACUCGAUGAGAGUUCCCACUGGUAGCGGUAAUAACAUUUGAAGCCCGUGCUCUAGAAGGUGAACACGAUUGCUGUCUUGGAUUUCCGUUGCAACCAGCCACAACAGAAGAUGUUUUAACACUUGGCGCUCCAGGCCUAUCCCUAGAGGCUGAAGCCGGCCUUUGUGGCAAUGAUGUUCUUAAAUUUGGCGGAGCAUCAUGUGAAAACCCAGGAAUCUUAGAGGAUUUUGAGGGCCUUGGUUUUACCGUUGGAGAACUUCCACGUGAUGAAACGGGAGUUUUUGAACUUGUGGGACGUAACUUUGAUGCUGAAGAAGAUCGACCAGGAGGGGCAGAUACAGCAGAUGCACUUGAUGAACUUAGUUGACGGGUUGGUGUCGCUGAUCUUGAUGUUGGUGCAGAAGGUCUGCCAGUUGGUGUAGAAGAGCGAGGAGUGGACCGAGAAGGAGUUGAAGAUCUCACUGGAGGAGCCGCAAGCUUUGCGGAUGAUGAGGUGGCUCGUGAAUUUGGGGUGGAGGAUCGUGAGGGCUUGGUUGAUGAAGGUAAUGUGGACCGCCCAGUUGGUGUUGUGGACCGUCCAGUUGGAGUUGUAGACCUACGAGUAGCAGCUCCUGACCCUCUGGGUGUUGAGGGCCUUCUGUUACCAGUACUGGAAGAGUUCAGUCCAGACGGCAAUGUUGGCUGCUUAGAUGUUAUAUUGUUCCUUGAAGCAGAUUCUAUCUGGUUGUUUGCUAGCUGAAAGUCCCAAGUUAUGGAAACAUAACAGCAUAAAUUUGCAAAUCAAGACUUCAAAAGUAAAAUGAAAUGUCCCAAAACAAACAAUAAAACACCACAUGCAGUCAUAAGUUUGUAACUCGUAAAGAAGACUAAAACUAUGGGAAGAUUCAAGUCCAACAUUACUAUGACACACAUACAUCUCAUAGAAUCUACGAUCAACGAGUCAAAUGUACAAAUGCUGCACGUACAUUUCAUAGAAUUAACAACAAUGAGUCAAAUGUACGAAUGCAGCACAUACAUCUCAUAGAAUUUAACGCUUAUAUGCAUCUAGAAAUCAUUUUAACGAGUCCUUACCCGAGAUUUUGGAGCGAAUACACGGUCAUUAGUAACCUCAGUCUGAUUCGUUAUUGUUUUCUGCACUUCCAUAUCCAAGGACGGAAAAAGUGGAGUAGCCGGUGGAGUAAGAAGCCUGUACAUAGAAAAGAUCACCGAUAAACGAUAGCAGAACAACUCCGGAGUCCAGACCAAAGCAUAGAGAUAAGAGCGAGAACUAUAACUAUAAGUCUACAAAAUUGAACAAGAAUUUCUAUGUGAAGGCUCAAAUCAAUUUUUCUUGAAAACAGCCCUUAGAAACAGAACAGCCCCCGAUUUUUCGGACACCUCAGCGAAAUGUUUUGGAAAUCAGAUCCCAUCUCAUUAGUCCUAGGAUAAUUAAUCCUAUCCAAUUUAGCAACAGAGCAAUUAUCUUCAUCAAUUCAACAAGUUACCAUGAUCGGAGGCUUAAACUUUGAUUAGUCCUAGGAAAAUUUAAUCCCACCAAAAAAUAAGCAUAAAAUCAAAGACUUGAACUUCGACACUAAUUUACUCACCAAUCGUAAUCAGACUUCUCAUUCUCCGAAUUCAAAAACUCAUCCACCCGGCUCUUCCGCGGCGGCGCCCCAACAGUCCUAGAAACCGCCGCGCCUCCGCGGUUAACAGAUUCUGCACAAACAAGCGCAAGCACCAUCAAAACCAACAGACAAAGACCGAAACUUUAAACCACAAACAAGAAACCCAAAAGGUCGUACCCGGAGGAGCAGCGGCGGCAAUAGCGUCGAGCUCAUCCGCGUUCUUGCUCGGAGGAAGAAGAAGAAAGCCGGUAUUUUUCUCCUUGUCGCGCCUCCGCAUCUCGAGAAACAAAGCGAGCUCUUCGUCUCUGUCGUUCGCGUUCACCACCUUCCCGAAGCUCCGUUCUCGCGCCCUCGACUCCAAUGUAACUUCCAUGGUUGUCUCUGCAGCUCAGCAAACACAGAGGCUGCUGCGAGGAGAGAGAGAGGAGGAGCGGAGUUUUUUGGUAGCUGAAAUUUUCAGGUGCUGUUUUUUCUUGGCAGUUCUCUCUCUCUCUCUCUCUCUCUCUCUCUCUCUCUGUUUUGCAAGAGUUCAGAAAUUUGAAUACGAAAACGAAGCAUUGGGAAAUUAAUAUUUUAUUUAUGGGCUAAGAGGUGGCGAUAAUUACGACUCUGCCAUUGUAUUUGUUCUUGCGAGACGCGGCCUUAGUCAUCUUCCUCAUCCACUGUAGACAUGUGAAGAUAAAGCUGGAUUGAAUUGGAUACAUGUAUGCGUGAUUUUUGGGAUAGAAAAAGCUUAGAACUUCUUCCAUAAGAUUCUGUAGGAGAAGAUUGAGAUUUGAACGCAUGACUUCAAGUGCAGAGUAAACGCUCUUAAUUACUUUAUAUAUAAGUAUCUUAUCUAGAAUGGUAAUCAAAGUUUAGCAUCUUAGAAACUCUUGGAAUUGGAUUAAAAGACGAGAGAGAAUUAAGUUACUGGUUCACUUUCCUCCAAAUAUAUCAAAAACAAACGUGUAGCUCAUUAGAUUGUUAAAUUUCAAUAUGUGACAAGGAAAAUCUCUUAAUAAGAUUUUUAUAUUGCUUGUAACUAGACUAUUUGUUUUAGUAUGUUGCAAAAUAUGUUCAAGAUUGUGAAUACAUAUUACAUUUGAUCACUCUAAUUACAUAAAAUGUGCUGUUGAGAGAUGUCACAGUCUGACAACAUAAUAUGUUAAACUGUGUGAUAAAAGAAUACUUUGCUCAUUUGUCAUGUUUGCAUGUGAACAUAUCAACUACAACCUCAACUACAUCGAGAUUUUGUGAUCAAACGUAAGAUAAAAACAAUUGAAACUCAUCAAUCAAUGGAUAACCCCUAUAACUUGACAAUAAACGAAUUGUUUUUUUUUUAAUAAUAACUCCCUACACUUGAGUUAAUAAUACACUUUCCAAACUAAUCAAAAAUUACAAACUUACAUAAAAUACUUGAUUACUUGCAAUACAAGAAAUCUUAUAAUUAAUAGGUCACCUCCUCAAUUCCUAAAAAUACUAUUCUACCCCCAUCUUUUAUGAAGUUGCUUGAAUGUACUAGUACAAGAAGCUCCAAAAUUAUUGAAAGAUUAUCACAUUCCAAGCAAAUGACGAAAUCAGUGGCAAUUUCGUAAUUAAGCGCUCAGGCAAACCCAUUUUCCAAACGAGAUAUAAAAUUCGGGAGUAACAUUCCCAUUACGUAAUGGCACAUGGUGGAAGCCGCGAGCCUUUGCCUGACGACAUGUCGUAUUAAAACGCCGAGGAAUUUAAUUCAAACUUUCUUGUUCAAAAGAUGCUCGGAUUUAAACGUGGGUUGUUGGAUUCCUUUCCUCGAGAUGGCCUACUCCACAUCGGACGGCUGUUGUUGGUUGGCAGAUUUAUUAGGAGCUUGUAUGUCGUGGGUCCCACCUCGAGAAUCGUGUGGUUUAAAUUUUGAUAUGUCUCGACAAUAAAAAAAAUUUCAAUAUGCCGAAACACAAUUCAAUAUACUAAAUGUCAUAAUAUAAAUAAUUAAAUAUUUAAAAAAUAUAUAUUUCAACUAUUUGUAUUAAAAUACUGUAUUGUCUGACACACUUACAAUUUCCCCUUAAUAUGCAGUUCGUGGGUCCGGAUGAGAUUGCAGAUUGCUGUGACUGGUCAGUCACCUAUGGCCCACACAAAGCCCAAUCCGAAAAGGAUCAUAUCAUAUGACUGUAUUUUUUAAGAAAAUGUUAUUGAUAUUUCAAAAAUCAUAUUCUACACUUAUUAUAAAUGUAUUUUUCUUUUUAAAUAUAGACAGUUUGGAGCGUUUAAGAAAAAUUUCACUGUAGAUCAUGUAAUUCAAUUUUUAAAAAUUUUGGACAUGAAGUUUGUACUUUUUUAAUUUGAUUUAACUUGCUAACUCAUUAGAUUUGAGGAUGAAAUUUCGCGUAGCACUACAUGCGUGUUUUAUAUGUUCGACUUUUUAUAGUAUUGCGUGUUUUAAAUCAGUUUGAAAAACUGAGAAUUUCGAGCGUUUAAACUAGGUUUUCAGGUUUCUGGCAAAAUAUUAAUCGUUGUUUUUAGGGCACGUUUUCUUAAGCCAAAGCACUUAAAUGUUACUUAUGCUCAUGCAUGUGAUGUCAUGUCAAAUUUCAGUUCUUAAUUUUAAUGGAAGGUAGGAAUUGAAUAAAGAAACUAUAAUAUACCAAAUUAAAUAAAGAAAACUAAUAAAAAAAUUUGAAACCUUUCAGUUUUAACAAUAAAAACAAAAUAAAUAGUAAAAUAAAUAGUAUCAGAAUUGAAUUUUUUAAUGUAAAAAUAUGAUUUUUCGUUAAAAUGAAUAAAACCAGAAGUUUUUUGUUAAAAUUCCCAAUUAAAUAAGUAAGGAAACUACAAAAUUAAGGUUUGCCUAAAAUCAGAAAAACAAGUAAGACAAUGCAUUUCUUAACAUCAAACUCCACACAUAAAAACUCAACCUUCCAUUUUCAAUCCCCUAAAACUAAAUUCGGGAAUCAAUAUCCAUACAUUCAUUUCUACGAAUCAAACAUAGCCUGCGUGUAAGUUUCGAGAGUAAAAUAGAAUAAGACAACAUUUUGUGUGAGGAUAGAAAUACAUGUGUUGUGUUAGGGUAUGGUUGGUACUCUACUUGAAUAUAAUUUUUUAAAAUAAAAAACAAUUUUAAGUUUUGAGCUUUAAAAACUUGUUUGGUAUGAUUAUUUUCAAAAAUUAAACUCAAGACUAACUAAAAAAUAUAGUCUAUUACCUAAAAACAUAAAAAAUGAGUUUUUAGAGUUUUUAAAUUUAAAUUCACUUAUUUCUUUUCUCUCCCUCCUCCCCCCUCACUCCAAAUCUAUUUCUCUCUUCUUCUUUCUCUGUCCUAUUUUUUUACCAUUUUCGUCUCUUUUUCAAUCCGUUCUUUUCAUUUUCUCCAUUCUUUCUCUCAUUUCUCUUCCUCUCUAUCUCGUCCAAUCCUCUAUUUCCUUUCUCUUUCUUUCAAUCAUCUCUUACUUUCUUUCAUUCUCUCUCCUCUUUCUGCCUCUCUUGCGACCUUUUUUUUUAGAUAUCUUUGUCUAGUUUAAGUCGUAAGAUUUAAAAUUUUUAAAUCGCAAACCAAUCAAGUUUUUGAGUUUUUAAAAAUUGUUAUCAAGAAAUGUUUUGAAAAAGGAUAAAGGAAUUCAAAUGGAAUACCAAACAUGCCCCUUAGUGUUUUCAGAUAUACGAUCAAAUACACUAAGUGCCAUAAUGCAAUUAGUUGAAUUUUUUUCUUCAAAUAUUUAGGCACUUAUAUUAUGACACUUAUGUGUCAGUGUUUCUAACACAUUCAAAAACUUUUUGUAUUUUUGGGGUCGGAAGUGAGUGAGACGUGCAUGGCAUGUUGCAUGCUCAAUCGAGCCCCAUGCUCCUCUCAUGUGUUAUUUGUAGUGGGUAAGGGGCACGUGGUUGUCGCAUCGAGUGUAGAAUUUUUGGUGAUAGUCGGAGCAAUCAGUGCCUAAGACAAUGAUGUUUUUACACCAUCAGGUCCUGUCGUCCCGAGACCAUACAAAGCAUUUGUAGCUGCAGAAUAAGAAUAAUUGCAAGUGGUAGGCAUCACCGCAUUAUUGCAAGGGAGAUGUUAACCACAUUCUCAGUUCAACAUUUUUGUUCUACUUUUUCGAUUCUCUUUUAUUUUGAUUUUUAUUCUCUUUCUAUUUUAUUUGUAAUGAUUGAAGAUGACUUGAACCGUCAACUUUUUAGGUCGUCCUUUAAAGAUCGACUUUAUAAAACACUUAUCAAAUCAAUCAACUUUUAGCUAUUCAAUUAACGUUGUUAAAAUUUCAAUGUUUAAUUGUUUGAUCGAAGAACAUGAUUCAUCUAAUCAUUGAAUACUAGUUUGAUGGCUAAAGGAUUUCACAUUUGGUUGAUUUUGGCAAAGAUAAUCUUUAUACAACGACCUAGAAAAUAAAGGGUUCGAAUCAUCAUACAAUGUUUCUAUCCGUUUUUAUGAUAGGCAACUAUGUCACUGAAAGCGGACGUUACUCAAAUGCUUAAGAGCAUUUACCUUUGACCUCGAGAUUAUUCGUUUGAUUCCCUCCGCUGGCAACAUCGCUGGAGAAUAACUCUCACAGAAUUAGAUUCAUGAAUGAAUAAUGAGCACAGAAACAAUGCAAUUUUCCGAUAGGCAACUUUUUAAGUAGAAGCAACAGUUCAUAGGAUAGGAAGGUGAAUUAGCCGCACAGGCUCGGUUAUAACCAGAAAAACAAAAUGAUCUGUUCAAUUAGACUCGCUCGGACUAAACAAAAUCAUCCGUUUCAACUCUCUUCCAUGAUAUUACCUUCGACAGUCUAGGAGUUUCAGAAGGUUGAAACUUUGUCGGAAGACCUGUAACGCUGUCAGUUGGUUCUCUAGGAAAAGUGUCCAGCAACUCAAUUCGCCAUGGACCAACUAACCACUGCUCCAACAACUCUCAACCCAAAGAGGCAUUGCAUCCGUAUCAACUUUAAUGGCCCUGAAACGUGAGGAGUCUCCACAAGAAAUUGGAUAUGGAUAUAUGGGGAGAUGGAGAAUGGCUUUCAUGAAAACAACCACACCCCAAUAGCCAUCACAGAGUGGAGAAGAAGGGCAAGGUCGCGAGGAGUCUGAUAAUGUAGAACAUUGUUCCUUUCACUCCAAAGAUACCAGCUGAUGAAUGGAAACCGACAAAGCUCUUCCCCUGACAAGACAUGCCGCAGCUGAUUCAAUAAAUCCAUAGCUGCGCCCCAACACCUUUGGGAACUGCAGCAGUAAAAGCUGUCAUUUCCUACUUGUCCAAACCAUAUUGCAUGCGCCAACGCUUCAGAACCCACCCCACAUCUGAAGCAUGAAGCUGAAUUCCCCACCCAGUGCUUGGAAGCAGAAUGCAGGAAAGUAGAAAGGCACGUCAUAAACAAACUAGUCAAAUCUGGUGCAUAUCUCCACAUGAAGUUCCAACAAGACCGUUCGUUCCCUGGAACUUCCCAGUUACAAGAGUAUCAUACGUAUCGUCAUGUGGUACAAGACCUUUGUCAAGCAUCUCAUCAUGCAACCUAAAAGCCUCUUGCAAAUGCCCCUCCUUGAAGUUCCCAGCAACCAAAGUAUUAUAAAUAUGAACACUGGGAGUCAUUCCCCUACUAUUCAUGUCUUCAAAGUUCUUUCGUGCAUUCUCUAGCUGUCCUUUGUUACGAAGGGCAUUUAUCAGAACUGUAUAUGUUCUUUUAUCAGGUACAAUUCCCUUCUGAAGCAUCUCUGAGUAGAGAUCUGUAGCAGAUUGUAACUCUCCCUCUCUUAGAAAUCCAUCAAUUAAUGUAGUGUAUGCUUUCAAAUCACAAGGAAUACCUUCUCUAAUCAUCCUGUUGUGCCAGUCAAGAGCCGCUUCCACGUUAUUUAAACUCCGGAAGCCAGAUAUCAUGCUACUGUAAACAGCUACAUUUGGAGAUAAACCAACUUGAAGGAGUUCGAAGAAAAGUUCACGCGCAGAUCCCAUGUCUCGUCUUUUACAAAACCCAUCAAUUAGAGCACAAUAUGCAGUAGCUCCAGUUCAAUGCCCUUGUUUUCCAUCUCAUUCCACAUUUUCAAAGCCAUAUCAAUUUGAUUGCUUAUGCAAAACCCAUUAAUAAUGCUGGUGUACGUGACAACAUUAGGAGAGACUCCACCUUCACACAUUUCUCUGUAUACAGCCAGUGCAGAAUUAAUGUCACCCUCCUUGGUAUACCCAUUUAUAAUGCUAUUGUAACUAACACAUCCAGGAAUAAAACCCCUCGCAACAAUUUUCUUUAACAUAUCACUUGCCUCGGAUGUACGACCAGCUUUGCACAAGCCAUCGAUGACAAUGCCAACUGUGAAGCCUGUGGGAGAAAUCUUGGCAGCCACCAUAUCAUCAAAGACAUGCUCUACAUCACCGUUCUUGAAGUAGCCGUUUAUCAAGAUAUAUUAAGUCACAUCGUUUGGUUUCAAACCCCUUUUAAGCAUCUCCACAAAUACACUGCGUGCAUGCUCCAUAUUCCCUAUUCUGCAAUAGCCAUUUAUCUUGCUAUUGUAAGAUACUACAUUAGGUACCACACCUUUACACAUCAUUUUAUCCCAUAAACUACAAGCUUCACUUACUUUACCCUUCCCACAAAGCCAUGAUAAGAUAUUAUUAUAUGAGAAAACAUUAGCAACACCACACUCAACAACCUCAUCAAACAAGUUAGACGCAUUUCCAAAUGACCGAUAUUUCAAAAAUCCUCAUAGCAAAUGAUUUACAAUGAAGACAUCAGGAAAAAUAUCCAUGUCUUUCAUUUGCGUGUAAAGCUCAUAAGCCUUUUCCAUGUUCCCAUUCUUACAGCAGUAUUCUAUAAGAAUUGCAUACGUAACCCUGUUUGGAGUAAGUCCAUCCUCUAUAAUCAUAAUGAACAAACCCAAAGCACUCUCCAAAUUCCCUUGCACACAAUAACCCUUCAUCAAGCUUGUAGCAGCAACCAAAUUAACUGGGUACCCACAACUUACCAUACCAUCCUUAAUCCUUAUGGCUUCAACCAUAUUCCUCUGCUUCACACAAGCCGUGAUGACACUGCUAAACGUGACCACGGAAGGAACCCACCCCAUUUCUCUCAUUUCAUCCAACAACUCCAAAGCCAAACACGAAUUGGGUUUCUUACAAAAAGCUUCAAUAGCAACACUAUAGGAUGCUGCGUCAAGUUCUACCUCUCUUGCCCUCGCCUCUCGAAAGUACUCCUCUGCGUCAUCCGGCUUCCCCUGCUUCAAACAACCACGCAUCAUCACGUGUAGAGUGACACGAUCACCUCCAAUUCCUCUCAAAGCCAUUUUAUCAUACACCUCUCGUGCUUCCCCCAUCAUAUUUCUCCUAACCAAUUCUGUUAAAAGAAUAUUUACAUACGUAACACAAGGACACAUCUCAAGCUCCAGAGUUCUACUAAAGCAAUCAAUGGCACAUUCGAUUCGAUUGGCUCUAACAUAAUUGUUCAAUAAAUAGCCAAAAACCUGAGAUUCUAGUUCAAAAUCAAACCGUUUGGCGCAGUCCACCAAGUGAUGGACAAAGACGCCCGAAUUGCCGGAAACGUACUGGUUAAGCAACAUCUUAGCACGCCUGUGAGUCUUCGGAUUGCCCAUCAAAAUGUGAAGCAACACACAAACGGCAUCGACACCUCUGACAAAACCUCGCUCCCUCUCACCCCAUUUGAAGUAAUUUACUGCCGAAUUGGGCUUGCUUUUGUGGCUAAGAAGAGUGCUGAUCACACUGGUUUGUGUUAAUUCCGAGUCUUCAGAAACUGGGGCGGCGAACUCGCCCUGAUUGGGGUCUGAUGCAACUGGGUUUUCCUGAAAUUCGAUUUCUCAUGUGGGUUUCUCGGGAAAAUCAGAUUUUGAUGUGAUUUUCUCGUAAAAAUCUGUGCUUGGAUUGGAAUUCCCGGAAAAUGGCGGCGAUUCUGAAUGGGGUGUUGGAGAGGAAUUUAGGGUUUAAGAAAGGAAGACGACGUAGUACAGGGAGUGGCGAGGAGUGGAGGGACUUCAUUGUUUGGGGUCCUUUGCUGCAGAAGAAGAAAUUGAAGAAACCCUGAUGGAGAUCAAAGGCUUCGGCUUGGUGGCAUAGUGAUGAAGCGAGGAAGGGGAUGACAACAGAGGCUGCGGCGCGAGCUUUGGCCAUUUACGGUUUUACCCCCUUGAGAUAAAAUUCAAAUCCCCAAAUACAUAUUAAGGAUAUUAAUUGUUUGAUAGGCAAAUCAGAAAAUGGCGCUUAACAAAAAAUUACCACAUAAUUAUUUAUUCAUACAUAAGUGAAAUGUUAACUUCGAUUUUCGUAGAUGGUGAGUUUUAUACCAUCUAAUUCUAGUGUGUCACAGCCCGUCCCAGAAUUACUUAAUACCGAGGACGUGAAAUUACAGAAACGCCCUUAAACGGGAUUAAGGUGCGUAAUUUUGACAUUUGUUUUACUUUAAGAUCCUAAACUAGGGUUAGAAUUAUAUAUUUGUAUGUGUUAAUAUUAUAUGGGUUAAGGUAGGGCCUUAUACCCUAAAUCCCUCCCCAAAAUCCGUUUUGUUGUCUCUCUCUCAUCUCCCUAGUCACUCUCUCUCUCUUAUUCUUCAGAAAACACUCUCUCACUCUCUCUCUUACUCUCAUUCUCUCUCAAACUCUCGGACAAACACCCAAGACCUUGAAAACUUCACAAGUUAAGGUUGAGGAAGGUAGCAUCGUGUUCGUAAGGACCAUACGAACACAUUGAUAUUGUUUUCAGGUAAGAUUUCCCACGAUUCCAUGUAGAAAACUUAAGCUCCGAGAUUGCUACUGUUCAUGAACUUAAAUUUGGUUGUGUUUUAGGUUAAACAAAGAUCACCACGAGUCUUAGGAAGUCCCAAGGAGGCUCGGAGUGCCUCGUUUGAACAAAAUGGACGUCGGGAUCGUCGGGUUCGAGUUUGGCCGAAAUUGAGGAAUUUUGGAAGGUAUGAUCUCGUAGUUUUUAGGCCUUAAAACCCUUCCAACGUGAUAGUACAUGUUAAAUGCUUCAUUUUGGUGUAAAAUUCGAAGAAAUUGGACGAAAAACGAAGGAGAAUAGUGGAUUUGAAAAUUUUCCAGAAACCGGCGACCGGCGACUCGCCGGAGAAGACAGGGAAUCUUCCGUCAAGUUUGACGGAAUAUUCCGACGCCGUUAGUUAACUUUAACGGAAACCGUUAGUUUUUAACGGAAUAUUCCGGGAAUAUUCCUAACGCCGUUCACUGUACCGUCAGUGUGCCUGGCACGUGGCUGCGCGUGGGCCGCGCGUAGGUCCGUGCCACGUCAGGCGCGUGGGGGCGCGUGGAGCAUCCAAAAAUUAUUUUAAAAAUAUGGGGAUGAUCCUGAGGUUGUGUAGGUCACUGUGGUAUAUUCAUAUACCCAAUUUGAGCAUCGUAUGAAGAAUUUAUUACCUAGUUGGUUUAGGUGCGUUUAAUGUGCGUUAAAUGAUUGUUUUAAGUUAUUUCACUUCUAGGUGGAACUUUUAACGAGGACGAGCACAUCCAGGGGCGUCAAGGGGGUUACGACCCGGCGACAUACCAGUGAGUGGGCAUUGCUUUCUAUAUAUAUACCUAUAUACUCGAUUUCCCCAGAAAUCAAAUUUAAAUGAAAAAUAUAUUGAAAUGAAAUGAAAUAUGAUGUGAUUGCCAUGCAUAGAAUGUUAUGGAUAUUAUGAACUGUCGUAUGAUGCAUAUAUGUAUGAUGGUGCUGUGGACGCACAGGUAAGUAUUUAAUUACUGUUAUGUUGAGGAUGAUGAUAUAUUGAGCUCAUAUCCUGCACCAUGGUUUAGUGCUUAUAGUAUUCACCGCAUCGCACGCUCGCCUUGGAUCCAAGUAGAUGCUGGUCGUACAGUCCACGCGGAGUGGGUACGACGGGCCAGUCGUAGAAUGUUAGUGAGAUUAUGACUGGUGGGUGACCUUAGGUUAUUGUAUACAGAUGAUUGAUGAGAGAAGCACUUGAGCGAAUAUUACCAUGAGUCGUUCAGACUGCAUUAGGUGGUUCCGACUUAUGUGCAGAAGGCCGGACAGGUCACGCGGAGUGACUCCGGCAGAGAGUGAGAUUGAUAGAUGUUGAGCUCUAGGUUCAAUCGUUCAGGACUAUUAGAGGGCCUCCGAUUGAUUAUUUCUUUUACCUGAUUUAUAUUAUGUCAAUGCAUUCAUACUAAACUGCUGAAUUUGGCAUGGUACAUUCUUUAUUGAAUCUGCUAUAAGAUUGUUGAUCGAGACAGUUGAGAUAUAUAUGCUAUAUACUAUUUUUCUGGGAAAGUAUACAGGUUUUCCAAAAAGGGGUUAUAAAUGUGGAUUUAUGAAAUGUUUUGGAAAAGCUUUAUUUUUCGCCCACUCACGUUUUCUGUUUUUCGCCCCUCCAGGUUCUAGUUGAUAGUUGAGGCGUUGGUGGCCUACGAGGACUGCUUCGGCGUUCUGACAGACUAAAUAAAUGUAGGAUUCACCCGAGGGUGUUGUAAAAUAGUUAUGGUCCUACUUGACUGCACCUAGACGCUUAUGCUCUGUUUAUGUGUGUUUAGUACACUCUUAUGCACAUAGAAUGCUAGGUUGUAAAUAACUGCAAUUAGUGGUUUUCGUUGACUCGUAUUUUAUUAUUAAAUCGUUUCCGCUUGCGUUAUGGUUACGUCACACUCACGUGACGGCCAGCACGUUCUAGUCUUCGGGUUAGGGUGUGUCAGUUUGGUAUCAGAGCAUAGGUUGCAGUCCUGUAUAACUAGUGAUUUUACUUAUUAAUUUUUGGAUGUUUUCUGUCAGAAUUAUGCCGCCUCGUAGAGAUCCUCGCCGUGCUGCUGAGCCUAAUUUCCCCGAUAUAACUCAGCUAGGGGCAUCAAUGGCUCAAGCUUUUCAGGCUAAUAUCCGUCCUCCUCAGAGAACACCUGUAGAGACGAUGUAUAAUCUGAAAUUGGAAACCUUUGAGGGAAAUGAAGGUUAUGAAGGGGCAGAAAAGUGGUUGGAUCGGAUUGAGCAGACCUUUCAAGUGAUGCAAAGUCAAGGAAACCUGCCAGCUAAUAGAUGGGUGGAGACCACCACCUGGUUUUUGGGCCGUGAGCCAGCGGCGUGGUGGAUAAAUCAGUCGAGGCACAUGGCACCUGAAAGGACAGCCGAAUGGGAGGUAUUUAAGGAAAAUUUUAUGAAGAGAUUUGUUCCUCCGGAAUAUAUAGAUCGCAAGAAACAGGAAUUCACCAGUCUGAAGCAGAGAAAUAUGUCCGCACAUGAGUACUACAGGAAGUUUACUGAUUUAUCCCGUUAUGAUUCUGAUUUAGCGGGUAAUCAAGCAGAAAUGCUUCGUCGUUUCAAGUUAGGAUCUAAGAAGAAGUACAGAACGUUUGCCAAUGCACUUCCCUGUGCCGAUUAUCAUGAGUAUUUUGAGAUUCUGGUCCGGAUGGAAGACUCUGAUAAUCUUCCGGACAGUGAGGAUGAAGAGGAUAAGGGUAAUGGUCAGAAGAAAAAUGAGAAAGGUAAAGGUGUUUCCAUUCCAGGACCUCGUCAGAUGCAGAAUUUUAAGAAGAGUGGAAUGAGUUCUAGUUCUUCCAGUGGUGGAUUUAGUGCCACAGGUCCGAGGAGAGGAGGUGGUAGGUUUGGUAAUGGACCUAGAUUUUCUGGUCAGAGAGGCUUUGGUGGUACUGGUAGUUCGGGUUCUCCGUUAUGUCGCCGUUGUAAUUUCCGACAUUAUGGGGAAUGUAGGAGAAUCAGUGGUGCAUGCUUUACAUGUGGUCAGACAGGACAUAGAGCUAUGAAUUGUCCCCAGAAUCAGCAGAGGCCCCAGCAGCCUGUUAGGCCAACACCAGCACCGACUCAACAGAACUUUAAUUCAGGCAGUUAUGGCCAGGUUGGUCGUGGUGGUGCUUAUCAUUAUCAGGGUGAUGCUACUCCAUAUGCUCCAGGACAGUAUCACUAUUCCCAGGAUCCUUAUUCUCAGAGUGGAUAUUCUCAGGAUCAGGGAGGUUAUACUUCAUAUCCGUCUAUGCCAGCUAGCGGAUCUCAGUGGUAUCAGGGGGGUCAGCCCCAACAGAGCGGAGUUGCUGCUAGCAGUGCAGGGUCGUUUAGGCCGCCUGCCCAGACAGGUCAAGGAAGUAUUCAUCAGGGACGAGGUAAUCAGAGUGGCAGAUGUCGUGGAGGACGACAGCCAGCUCAGGGACGUGUUAACCACAUAUCGCUGCAAGAUGCUCAGAACCAUCCAGACUUGAUUAUGGGUACGUUGAAUGUUCUUGGUCAUUUUGCUAGAGUCUUGAUUGAUUGUGGUGCUACACACUCUGUGAUUUCUCAUACAUUUGCUCAAAUGACACAACCUCAUCCUUCACCUCUAGGGUUUGAUUUAGAGUUUGCUAUGCCUAGAGGGGAUAAAUGUUAUGUUGAUAGUUUUUACUCUGGGUGUCCAGUGAUGGUAGAUAAUGUCAUUAUGCCUGCUAAUCUUAUCCCGUUAGACAUCGUGGAUUUUGAUGUGAUUUUAGGGGCGGAUUGGUUGCAUUAUAAUCGCGCCCAUAUAGAUUGUUACGGGAAAUCAGUUACUUUUCUUCGUCCUGGACUACCUGAGGUUACAUUUGUGGGUGAAAGAAAUGGGGUGAGGCAUGGUGUUAUUUCAGCCAUAAGGGCAAAGAAGUUGUUAUCCAAGGGUUGUCAGGGAUACUUGGCACAUGUGGUGUUAAAUGAUGUUGAUUCCGGUAGUGUGGAGGAAGUCGGAGUAGUCAGACACUAUCCUGAUGUAUUUCCAGAUGAUUUACCUGGGUUGCCUCCAGAUAGAGAUGUGGAAUUUUCGAUUGAUUUACUUCCAGGUACGAACCCUAUCUCUUUGACUCCUUAUAGAAUGGCACCAUCGGAAUUAAGAGAGUUGAAAAUUCAAUUGCAAGAGUUAAUUGAUAAAGGUUUCAUUCAGCCUAGUUCUUCACCGUGGGGAGCUCCGGUGUUGUUUGUAAGAAAGAAAGAUGGAACUUUGAGAUUGUGCAUUGAUUACAGGCAAUUGAAUCGGGUGACGAUUAAAAACCGUUAUCCCUUGCCUCGUAUAGAUGAUUUGUUUGAUCAGCUCAAAGGUGCCUGUGUGUUUUCUAAGAUCGAUUUGAGGUCUGGGUAUUAUCAAUUAAAGAUUAAAGAUGAGGAUGUUCAUAAAACAGCUUUCAGGACUCGUUAUGGGCAUUAUGAGUUUUUGGUGAUGCCAUUUGGAUUAACGAACGCUCCUGCAGCUUUCAUGAGAUUGAUGAAUGAAGUAUUCCAGGAAUAUCUUGACAAGUUUGUUAUUGUUUUUAUUGAUGACAUCCUGGUAUAUUCUAAGUCGAAAUCAGACCAUAUUCGACAUCUUAACUUGGUGUUAAGGAAAUUGAGGGAACACCGAUUAUAUGCCAAAUUUAGUAAAUGUGAAUUUUGGCUGGAUCAAGUGGCAUUUUUGGGACAUGUGGUAUCAGCUCAGGGAAUUCAAGUGGAUCCUCAAAAGAUAGCAGCAGUGGAAAAUUGGGAACAACCUCGAACGGUCACUGAGGUGCGGAGUUUUCUUGGUUUGGCAGGUUAUUAUAGACGGUUUGUUCAAGACUUUUCUAUGAUUGCCUUGCCAUUAACGAAGUUAACCAGGAAGGAUGUUAAGUUUGAAUGGGAUGAAAGUUGUGAGCAAAGUUUCCAGCAGUUGAAGUAUUGCCUUACUCAUGCACCUGUGUUAGUACUUCCUGAUGAUGAUGGUAACUUCGAGAUCUAUAGUGAUGCUUCUUUGAAUGGUUUGGGUUGUGUUUUGAUGCAGCAUAGUAGAGUGAUUGCCUAUGCUUCUAGGCAGUUGAAGACUCAUGAAAGAAACUAUCCGACUCACGAUCUUGAGUUAGCAGCUAUUGUGUUUGCUUUGAAGAUCUGGAGACAUUAUCUCUAUGGCGAGAAAUGUAAGAUCUUUACAGAUCAUAAAAGCCUUAAGUACCUUUUCACUUAGCAUGAUCUUAAUCUUCGUCAGAGAAGAUGGUUGGAAUUGUUAAGUGAUUAUGAUUGCACGAUUGAGUACCAUCCGGGUCGUGCAAAUGUGGUAGCUGAUGCUCUGAGUAGAAAACCUCAAGGGCGACUUAAUGCUUUGUAUGCCAGUCGUGUUUCUCUUCUUGCAGAGUUGAGAUCUACUGGAGUAGAGUUAGAAUUGGAAGAGCAAAGUGAAGCUUUUCUUGCCAAUUUUCAAGUCAAGCCAAUUUUAAUUGAUCGGGUGCUUACAGCUCAAUCGUUGGAUGAAGAAAUUCAAGAAUUGAUCAGUUUAAGAAAGGAAAGCUAAGCCCCAGGUACAUUGGACCUUAUGAGAUCACUGAGAGGAUUGGUGAAGUUGCUUACAGGUUGGAGCUACCUCCAGAGUUGUCUAAGGUACAUAAUGUGUUCCAUGUCUCGAUGCUUCGACAUUAUGUUUCAGAUCCUUCACAUGUGAUUCCUCCUCAACCAUUGGAAAUUAAUCCGGACUUGACGUACGAUGAGGAACCAGUGACUAUACUGGAUUGGAAAGAUAAAACUUUGAGGAAUAAGACCGUGAACUUGGUAAAAGUAUUGUGGAGAAACCAUUCAGCGGAAGAAGCUACAUGGGAGACAGAAGAACGGAUGAGAGAUAUGUAUCCGAGGCUAUUUUAUGAGUAUUGAGGGUUUGGUUGGUGACUGGAAUUUCGGGGACGAAAUUCUAUAAGGAGGGGAGAUUGUCACAGCCCGUCCCAGAAUUACUUAAUACCGAGGACGUGAAAUUACAGAAACGCCCUUAAACGGGAUUAAGGUGCGUAAUUUUGACAUUUGUUUUACUUUAAGAUCCUAAACUAGGGUUAGAAUUAUAUAUUUGUAUGUGUUAAUAUUAUAUGGGUUAAGGUAGGGCCUUAUACCCUAAAUCCCUCCCCAAAACCCGUUUUGUUGUCUCUCUCUCAUCUCCCUAGUCACUCUCUCUCUCUUAUUCUUCAGAAAACACUCUCUCACUCUCUCUCUUACUCUCAUUCUCUCUCAAACUCUCGGACAAACACCCAAGACCUUGAAAACUUCACAAGUUAAGGUUGAGGAAGGUAGCAUCGUGUUCGUAAGGACCAUACGAACACAUUGAUAUUGUUUUCAGGUAAGAUUUCCCACGAUUCCAUGUAGAAAACUUAAGCUCCGAGAUUGCUACUGUUCAUGAACUUAAAUUUGGUUGUGUUUUAGGUUAAACAAAGAUCACCACGAGUCUUAGGAAGUCCCAAGGAGGCUCGGAGUGCCUCAUUUGAACAAAAUGGACGUCGGGAUCGUCGGGUUCGAGUUUGGCCGAAAUUGAGGAAUUUUGGAAGGUAUGAUCUCGUAGUUUUUAGGCCUUAAAACCCUUCCAACGUGAUAAUGCUUCAUUUUGGUGUAAAAUUCGAAGAAAUUGGACGAAAAACGAAGGAGAAUAGUGGAUUUGAAAAUUUUCCAGAAACCGGCGACCGGCGACUCGCCGGAGAAGACAGGGAAUCUUCCGUCAAGUUUGACGGAAUAUUCCGACGCCGUUAGUUAACUUUAACGGAAACCGUUAGUUUUUAACGGAAUAUUCCGGGAAUAUUCCUAACGCCGUUCACUGUACCGUCAGUGUGCCUGGCACGUGGCUGCGCGUGGGCCGCGCGUAGGUCCGUGCCACGUCAGGCGCGUGGGGGCGCGUGGAGCAUCCAAAAAUUAUUUUAAAAAUAUGGGGAUGAUCCUGAGGUUGUGUAGGUCACUGUGGUAUAUUCAUAUACCCAAUUUGAGCAUCGUAUGAAGAAUUUAUUACCUAGUUGGUUUAGGUGCGUUUAAUGUGCGUUAAAUGAUUGUUUUAAGUUAUUUCACUUCUAGGUGGAACUUUUAACGAGGACGAGCACAUCCAGGGCGUCAAGGGGGUUACGACCCGGCGACAUACCAGUGAGUGGGCAUUGCUUUCUAUAUAUAUACUUAUAUACUCGAUUUCCCCAGAAAUCAAAUUUAAAUGAAAAAUAUAUUGAAAUGAAAUGAAAUAUGAUGUGAUUGCCAUGCAUAGAAUGUUAUGGAUAUUAUGAACUGUCGUAUGAUGCAUAUAUGUAUGAUGGUGCUGUGGACGCACAGGUAAGUAUUUAAUUACUGUUAUGUUGAGGAUGAUGAUAUAUUGAGCUCAUAUCCUGCACCAUGGUUUAGUGCUUAUAGUAUUCACCGCAUCGCAACGCUCGCCUUGGAUCCAAGUAGAUGCUGGUCGUACAGUCCACGCGGAGUGGGUACGACGGGCCAGUCGUAGAAUGUUUAGUGAGAUUAUGACUGGUGGGUGACCUUAGGUUAUUGUAUACAGAUGAUUGAUGAGAGAAGCACUUGAGCGAAUAUUACCAUGAGUCGUUCAGACUGCAUUAGGUGGUUCCGACUUAUGUGCAGAAGGCCGGACAGGUCACGCGGAGUGACUCCGGCAGAGAGUGAGAUUGAUAGAUGUUGAGCUCUAGGUUCAAUCGUUCAGGACUAUUAGAGGGCCUCCGAUUGAUUAUUUCUUUUACCUGAUUUAUAUUAUGUCAAUGCAUUCAUACUAAACUGCUGAAUUUGGCAUGGUACAUUCUUUAUUGAAUCUGCUAUAAGAUUGUUGAUCGAGACAGUUGAGAUAUAUAUGCUAUAUACUAUUUUUCUGGGAAAGUAUACAGGUUUUCCAAAAAGGGGUUAUAAAUGUGGAUUUAUGAAAUGUUUUGGAAAAGCUUUAUUUUUCGCCCACUCACGUUUUCUGUUUUUCGCCCCUCCAGGUUCUAGUUGAUAGUUGAGGCGUUGGUGGCCUACGAGGACUGCUUCGGCGUUCUGACAGACUAAAUAAAUGUAGGAUUCACCCGAGGGUGUUGUAAAAUAGUUAUGGUCCUACUUGACUGCACCUAGACGCUUAUGCUCUGUUUAUGUGUGUUUAGUACACUCUUAUGCACAUAGAAUGCUAGGUUGUAAAUAACUGCAAUUAGUGGUUUUCGUUGACUCGUAUUUUAUUAUUAAAUCGUUUCCGCUUGCGUUAUGGUUACGUCACACUCACGUGACGGGCAGCACGUCCUAGUCUUCGGGUUAGGGUGUGUCAUAGUGACUAAAAAUUAUAUGACUUAAAAAUACUGGAACACUAUUAUAUUCUAUAGAAAAAGAUAUAAACUUGAUGUGAAAACAUCAGACUAACUUGACAUACUUAUUUUAGUCACAUUUGCACCGCUUCUCAACUCAUAUAUUUUGUUUACUAAAUAAUGUGAGUGUUUGUUCUUAUCCAACGUCUUUAAAUUUAUUUUAGAAGAAAUUUGUAAUUGAAGUGGUUAAGAGUAUUUACUUGUAAACCUAUUUGUUUCUCCCAUUGCAACAAAUAUUGGGAGGAGAAAAUCAAACGCAUAACCUCUAAACUACUUUUAGUACAAUACUCUUUUCAUUAUUUUAAAUUUGCUACUCCUGAGAGUGUAGUUUAGUUUUUCUAAGCAUACCUUCAUAGGCACUGCAGAAGUCAAGAGUCAAGGAACUAGACCUUUGUAAGUUCAAAGGUCUCAUCAAAACCUCAAUCCAUCAUGCCAAAAUGACGAGAUUUUGCCCUAUCAUCAGGAACAUAUCCCCGUACGAGUGUCUCACUCAUCAUGUGACCUUAUAAUAUAUUAACAUGUCUGUAUAUUUCCAGUGAACCUAAAAGAGCGAUAGCAAACCAGAUGUAAGCUAAUACUUUUUUUUGAAGAACUUGAUUAGCAACUGUAUUGGUCAUCAAUACCAUGUUCUAAAUCAAUUAGCAAAGCCUACUCAAUAAAGAAAAUAGAUUGCUAAGAAUUUACAUUUGAAACUAAUAGUGCAGUUUCCUGAAUGGAUGGGAAAUCAAGCCUCAUCACCAUCGCUUCCGCCAAUCUGAGCUUCGAGAGCGAUUGAGUAGUUGCUUCCAUCAGGACCGAGAAUCUGGAAUCUGCUCAAGAACACAGAAAAUCACUCUAAAAGCUUUUAAUUCAGCAACCACAGACGUCGAUUUGGUUUUACCUCUCAAGGAUACACUUUCCUUCCUUGUACUUCUGGGAUUUCUCAUGCGCCGCCUCCUGAAAUCGAUGACCAAAAUAAAACUCUCAUUCAGCUGUCACUUUGAUGCAAGUACUGCAAAUACCGAAAACAAAUAAAGCAUCGUUUUGAAGAAAAGAUAUCCUUACAUAUUUCCAUCCCACAUUUGAUCCACACGAAACACAAAAUAUGUCAGCAACGGUAUGCAAUCCUGUUAUCAUGAUCCGCUCUUCUUUCUCUCCAAGUGUGACAUUUACGCUGCCAUACAUUGGGGAAACGAAGGGUUAACUCAGCAUUCAUAUGUGUAAGCUGCACUUGAUGCAGUUAUGAAUAAGCCUUCUUCAUAGGAUUCAAGUGAACGAAAAUGCGUUUAUGAGACAAAUGCAUUAAUUAGUGAAUUUUGGGAGAACAAUACUCCAAAAUAGAUUUGCUAUGCUGUCACUGAUUUCAUUAAUUCUAUUUCUUUUGCCAUCCUCAAAGUUAAGCUUUUCAAAAUUCAUCAACCGGAAUGAAUCCUCUGGCCUAUAUCAGACCGUGUUCGGUUUGGUGCUUCAAGUCAUUUCAUAUCGGUGGACAAGAAACGAUACAUGCACAUAGGAUGGCCAAGUUUUUUGUGGCAAGUGAGACCAAUAUAAACUCACAUGCUCGUAACCCUAAAACUGAUAUACAAGCAUCCAUAGCUAUGACUGAAUCUAUUCAAAUUUUCAACCGUAAAAUAGUAUUACACUUACACUUUAUCGAAAAGAUAAGCCUUCCCAUGCCUGGAGUGAAAAGACUGGAACAAAAACAGAAGCAAAUCAAGGGGUUAGAAUGUCACUUAUCAAUCCUAAAUUCCUGAUAUCAAACAUACACCAUACUGUAUCGCUUUAGUUUCCAUAUGAUCAGCGUUCAAACCAACAGUAACACAAAUAACCAGGACAACAUUUUGGUCUCGAAUUAUAGUAGAGAACAGAGACGCAAGUUCCUAUCUAAUCUUCCAGCCAAAAUUUAACAAUUACACCAGGAAAGUGUAAAAUAGAUACCUUGGACGUAAUCUUAGCAGGAAUUGAAGACCUAAUUCUUCUCCAGCAAGUAAAGCAACAAUCUGUGUUCCUAGAAUUGCAUAAUUAAACCCGGAAUAUCAUCAUAGAGGGUUGCAGAUAAAGGUUCAAAAUCUUGAGCAUUUUGCGUAUCCGUUCAUCAAACGCGCAAGCCAUGAAGCCAAAGCUGAUUGUGAUGAGCCAUAAACAGAAUUAGGAAACGAAGGCCUGCACCAUGAAUAAAAGAAGGAACCCAGAAACAACCCAAUGUUUGAGCUUCCAAUCUCAACCAGUCUGAACAUGAACCAUCACAUUGUGCUACGGUAUAAAGGUAUCACAACUCCUCAAUAUCACAAACAAAACUCUCUAAACAAAACCUAAACCAACAAUUUACGUAUCACAACUCCUCAAUAUCUAAUGAUUAGACCCCCUAUCUAUCACUUAUUGGAAUUUAGCUUAACAAACCCACACAAACUAAAUUCUUACGUCCACCACCGAUAAAUCUCUCAUCGAAAAUUCGCCACACAUUUACAUAUCACAACGAUGCAUCAUAAUUUCACAGAGUUCUUGAAUGUCCAGGUAGCGUGCAUUAUGCAAAUAAACAGUAAAAAUUCAUAACAAACAGAAUUACGGGGAAGGCGAUUUCGGACCUUAGAGAUUACGUCGUCGACAAGAGCGAGAUGGGUUCUGCAGUGCUUGCAGCUAUACAUGUUUUCCUCAAGAGUGAUCACAAACAGCCUUCCCAUUUCUCACAUACAAUUAAACUUUCUUAAUUCUUGAUUUUCUUUUCCCUACAAAAACACAAAGAUCGGCCGCCAUGUUAGAAAUUCAAGCAUUCCAAAAGAAACCCAGAGAUUACCUUCACCAAAACUUGAGAAAAAUCAACGUGAUAAAACCUGAAAAUUCCAAGAAAAAAAUAACGAAAAAAAAUGAAAUGAUACACAAUGCAGGAGUGCAUUUCCCAUAAUGUAGAUUUUAGAGAAAAGAUUAAUACCAAAAAAAAUCUCUUGUGUUGUGGUACAUUGUAUGUCUUUAUCACGCAAAUCUUAUUUUCACGAGUUUUGCGUAAUGUACUUAUUUUCGUCGCGGAAGCUGUUAAAUGCAGUAGUGGUAGUCUUUGAUUCCUCAUUAGGGUAAGCAAAAUGAAUGGAAAAGUUAGUAUCCUUCUUUGAAUUUGAUAUGCUACAUCUAGCGACCGUUAAUUAAUAAUCUUUGCAUCACUAUCGAAUUUGAUAUGCUACAUCUAGAGACUGUUAAUUAAUAAUCUUUGCAUCACUAUCGAAUGAUGUUCUUAAUUCCCAACAUAACAACUUAAACGUUAAAUUAUUUAAGAAGAUUUUUUUUUUAAUUUCUCUAAGGCCUAAACAGAUAAAUGUUUUUUGUGGUGAUAUAGUAUUCCGAAGUUAGGCCUGUUGAGAAAAAAAUUAGGAAUCAAACCCUCAUGGUGAAGUCUGUUAGGAUUCAUGCCCCAACAGACUUUACUACAAGAGUUUAAUUCCUAAAUUUUUCAAACCGGAGGCUAUCUUCCGAAUACCUUAUCAAUUAUCAUCACAGAGACCGUUUAUUCCGUUAAGCCGUUCUUUAAUUGUAUGAACCAACAACUCCCCAAAUUACAAGAAAUUGUAUUUUAAUAUUAUUUUUAUACGCGUGAUAUUUGACUCCGAACUGUAAAAAGAGGAGGGAAGAGAGAUUCAAACUCAACUAUUUUUUUUUUUUUAAAACAAACAAUAUUAGUUACACUAAAAAAAAGUAUGAACUUAAUCUCACAAUGAGUUAAGAAUAAUAUGGUUCAAAUUCGUCUUUGACAUGAUUCAAACUCAACUAUUAAAAGUGCAAUCUGCUCGAUAAUGUGACUACAUCCACAUGCAUUUCGUUAUAAUAUUUUACAAAUAAAUAAGUUUUGCACAGUUUAAAAAGCUUUCAGAAGAAAAAAAAAAAUCCCUCUACUAUUGUGGGAAAAAGAAAGAAAAGGAAGAAUCUCGCGGCCUAUUGUUCGGUUAAAAAAACUUGUCGCUAAUAGGAAAACGCCACGGUAGAAAGUAAGGACGCAUUAUUUGUGGUGGGGGGGGGGGGCGCCGUGCCACGAAACCGAAUGAGAUUCAGAUUUGGUUGGAGGACGGAAAGAAAGUAAUUCACCAAUCCCUUUCACGAGAAGGUGCCAAAGGACACACGAAAGAAACGUUUCACUCAUAGUGACUAGACCAAAGCAAAAAAGUCAAUCCAAUCCAACUAGGUUAUGUGUUCGACUGUAGUAUUACCUGACUAUUCACGUUGUGAUAAGAAAGACGAUCCAUGAUUGUUUUUAGAACCCAAUUGUCCCACAUCAUUUAGUAUAUCUUAAAGGCGUUUCAGAGCUUUUGCGUACCUUUCCCUUCCAAGCCGAUUUUUAGGGGCAAUUUCUACUCUUAAAACAUUGUAUUAGAGCUUGGUUUCACCACGCAAUCGAGCGCAACUCCAUAGAAGGAAAUGAUAAAUUUUUUCAGUGUGUCUGGAACAUGUGGUGAAACACCACAUGUCAUUACAUAAGUGAAGGAAGGUUUUAUUUUUCAAGAAUCCCACUACUUUUAUAAUAACAUGUGGUGUAUCAUCCCGUAUUACGAGUACGUGAAAAAUUUGUAGAUGGGACCGCCUCAAAGGAAGGAAAGGGCUCCUCUAGGUCAGUGUAGAAAGCAAAACUUCACCAAACCUCUAAGGACGCGUUUACUAAUCCGUAAUCAAAUUGAGAGGAAUUGAAUUGAGGAGGAAUAGAAAUGAGGGAAAAUCAGAAUCAAAUUCCUUUUGAAGUUGUUUACUAAAACUGUUUGGAAUCGGAGUAGAAAUAACAUUGAUCUAUAUAACUGUUUACUAAUUCACAUGAAUCGGAAUGAAAACUAUUGUGAUUACUAAAAUACCCCUAGUUUAAUUAAUAAAUGAAAAAUAAAUGAAGUUUUUAUUGAAUAAAAAAUUGGAUGCGAUCCCCUAUAGAUGGUUUCACAAAACACAUAUUCUUAUUAACUUGAUGACCAGCGGACAAGGUUUAGCACAAGACAUUAACUAGGUAGAGAACCAAACAAGAGCUAAGACAAAGAACAUUGAUGAGCUGAUGGCUAAACCUCGAGGAGGGCCGGAAGUUGAAACGGGCACCAUUUGAUCUUCCUUGAUUAAUAACACUCCAAUGAAAGCGUGCCUCCGUGACGUGUGGUCAAAAUAUAAAGGGUCCAGAAGGAAAAGUAUACGUUCUCCCGUUCAAAAGAGGGGAUGCACGAGUAAUGUCCAACUAUGAAGAUGAAAUCGUGCCGUGCGGUGUUAUUCUCUCAACAGCACCCAUUCUCUGAGGAGGCCACAAAAUGUGGGUAACCCUUCCUUCAACUAAACCAAGAGGAAUCUGCCAACAACAGCUUGUUUAAGUUAGCCAAAGAAACAGAAGUUUAGAAGGAAGCCAAAAGUAGCCACAUUUUCAAAUUAUUUUGCACAACAUCAAUUCUGAUGAGGACAACUGAACUGAAAGCAACAUCUGAAACAAUGUCUUAGAAUACAUCAAGCAUUAUAUUCUAUCAAAGUUUUGCAAUGACAACAAAAUCAUCUAGCAGAAAUUUAGAAGGAUGCCAAAAGUAGCCACAUUUUCAAAUUAUUUUGCACAAUAUCAAUUCUGAUGCAGACAACUGAACCGAACAAAGCAUGUUCAUAAGCAAUGUCCGAAACAAAGUCUUAGAUUACGUCAAGCAUUAGAUUCUAUCAAUGUUUUCCAACGACAACAAAAUUACCUAGCAUAACAAUGAUUGCAAACUUUUUCCAAAAUGCCAAACUAAUUAUCUAUAUAGCAUUUCAAAUUUAUCGUGUCCUAGAAAAACAUUUUGUCUCAUUUACGAGCCACAAGCUAACGGAAUAGAAAAACGAUUUCCAUCCUACUCCGCAUUCAACUUUUCAGAAUAUAAACAAACAAUAAGUGAUUUGCCAUAAAAAAUACAAAAGUAAAUUCAAAUACCUAGUCAGCUUAUUGUUUCGUAUCUUUGGGCACCAAAUCAAUAUAAUUAAGGCCACGAUGAUAAAUUAUACUAUCGUUAAACUAUUUAUUUCUCUGGUGUACAAACUUAGCAGUAAGGUAGACUUACUGGUCCAAACGAUCUUGAAUCCAGGCUAGAAGAUGAAUUGUCUCCCUCAACCCAACAAUGUCCUUCUGUAAUUUUCACCACACAUAGGAAUGACGCGUUCCAAUCCACUCACCAGGUAAGGCAGUUAUUCUCUUUAUGUGACUCUCCUUGUGGUUACUUGGGGAGCUGCAGAAUGUUCCAUCAGGUUUCUUAUUAUAAUUCACUAGGCACAAAUAGUACUCGAGUGUUGUUAAGGGAAAAAAUUACCGGAAAACUACCACGUCACCAUGCGAGAACUUGUAGUUUUGAAGACAUUGUUUCUCGACCAAAACAUUGUCAUCUGCAACCGAAUCACAAUCAGACCACUAAACAAACCAUCACAUUGCACAACACAAAAAUCUUAGUGAGACGUCAUUCAAUAUACCAACUAGUUGGCAAGCCCAUCAAAGAAGUCGCUCCAUGGUUUAACGUAGGCGACAUAGAGGAACCCCGCACCAGAGCAACACUCGCAAAUCGAUCCGAAACAUAUACACCUAUAAUCCCAGAUGUGAAAAACUUGUUGGCAAAAUUCCACAAACCACUCCGAGUUCCCAUGUCCUGUUUUUUUUCCCUAAAUACUCACAUUUCAUGUGCAAAAUGCAGCCAUCUGUAACAAUUAUCAUCAAUUUUACCGAAAAUAAAAUCAAAUCAAAUGCGCAAUUUCGAUAAAGUAAGAAGAUUUAUAUAAGCAAAAACAGUAACCAAUCUCUCAGAGGCAAACAAUCAAACACCUGGUGAGCUUAAUGGACAAGAGGGAAAGAGAGUAGGUUACCAUUUGGGAAUAUUUCGGAUUAGCUGUCGAAGAAGCUUCCUUCACCGACGGGAGUCUUCGUUAAUGGAGGUAAGGCGGGAGGAGGUAGGUCGUGUACCGCCGUCGCGGAGUCGUGAUUUGGAGGAGAAGCAAAGUCUGGAUUAUAUUUCGGCUUUGGAGCUAUAUCUCAGAUGCUUUUUGCUCAAGGAAUUUGAAUUGGGUGACAAGCAUUAAUAAAAAAAUAAAUAAAUAAAUAAAUGUAUAAAUAGGAUCACCUAUAUAAAUUUUACUAAUUUGGACCCCUACAAGUUGCUUAAAGAGUAAUCAAAGCCCACCACUCCCAUCAGAGUUGAAAAUCUAACGAAAAUGACAUUUUUAUUCUAAAUGUCAAUUUUGAUACUAUUUACUUACAACAUUCUUUUGCCUUUUUUUUAAUUAAAAUUCAAAGUUUUCAAACCAUUUUCAUUUUUUUUUUCUUUUGAUUUAUUUAUUUUUAUUACAAAAGGACAAGUUAAAUUAUUCUAAUUCAUAUGGAGUGAGAUUAUUAUUUGAUAUAUUCUCGAACUUGAGUGAAAAGGGUAGACACGCUAUUAUAACUAAUUGGUUUAACCUGAAUAUGCUGUGUAUGUUUUUUCUUUGAUUAAAUCCGUAAUUUUUCACUUAGAUAAGUGUAAUUUGAUUUUAUUUACCCAUAAAAAAAAAUAAAUAAAUCUUAUAAUCGAUCAAUUUGUUAAAUGAAAAUUUUCUUAACUAUGGGCCAUACAAUUAUGUUUUAUUUUCAAUCAAGUCCUAAAGUGUGGUUUCAUUUGCGAUAAGUUAUAUGCCUUAAUAUUCACUUAAUAUUAAAUUUUAGUGACAUUAUUUUUCCUUGCAAGUAAUAAGUUAAGUUUAAACGCUCUUGAAUAACGAGUUCAAUACCUAUUUAUUUAUUUAUUUAUACUAUCGUAACAAAAACUCGUUACACUAUUCUCUCUCACUACUUAAGUUACCCAAAUUUUUAACUUGAGAUAAAUUGUUGGGAAAUUUUAUUUGAACCCAUCUAACUUCUUUGUACACCCAACUUACUCUCUUCACCCAUAUUGUUUUUUAUUAAAGAAUUAAUAUCUCUUUAAACUGUAGGUAUUUAUUCUUGUAUCUCCAUGCUACUUGAAUGCAUCUUUCUGCAAGGCCUCUCCAGUAAGGUGACUCAUACCUGCCAUAAAAACCAAACUUCAACAUCAAUGUUCUGUCAUAAACCAUUCCCACAUGCAUCCUAGACGAUUUCUUGCAGACCACGUAUGCAUAUGUCACCAGUCUUCAAUCGUGUAUGCAUACAUGAGAUAUGAAUAGCUUGAAUAAAAUAAACCUUAUGGCUCCUGGAACACGUGGUUUGCGCAAGAAUCUGGAGAAAACAUUGGUGACUUCUUCAAUGUCAGCUGCAGCAAUCAAUAGAAGAGACCUACAUAGGUGGACUACUUUCCAUAGAGCUUGUUUCAAAGGGAAGAUAAAAGUCAUUCGAACGCUGCUUGAAAAGGGUUUGGAUAUGGAUGCUAAAGAUGAGGAUGGACACACCGCGUUGCACUGUGCAGCGGAGUCGGGUCAUGCGGAUGUGAUUGAGAUGUUUAUAAAGAAAAGAGUUGAUGCUGAAGCUCGAACUAACAAAGGUGUGACUGCACUGCAUAUUGCUGAGUCUUUGCACUACGUUGGGAUUACUAGGAUACUUAUUCAUAGAGAUGCAACAAAAAAACAAUAGUAAUAUGGCACAUAUGUUGACCCAGGCCUCAGUUUCAUUUGGGAAAAAAUCUAUGGGACUAGAGGAGGAGAUCAUCAAAGGAGGAAUGAAGAAGGAGAAAUCGAGUCAAGCUAGAGCUCUUCGUGUGAGCUUUGAUGGUUCGAUGCCAUUGGUUGUUGUUUAGCUAGUAAAGUUAGAACUAAUAUUGGUGCAUUGGUAUUUUGAUAAACGUAGUAUAAAUUAGAGGAUUCAAAACUUCAAAAUCAUUAUCCAUCAAUAAAAAAACUUGUUUUUCUCUAUGAGAGCUAUUAGGGUUUUAGCCGUAAUGAGCGUAUGAUAAAUAAAGAGUGAUCCUAGGGUUUAAUUAUAGUGUUUGGGUUUAUUGAUAAAUUUGAGUUUUAUUAUUAAUUUUAUUUUGUACUUAAUAGUAAUUAUGCAAUAGGGUAAAAUAGGCAAUUAACAUUUAAAAUUUAGGGGGGGUGUAUUCAAUUGGGAAUUUGAGAGAUUUUAAUGGAUUUAUAAAUCCAUGAAUUUUUAUGGAGUCUAAUUGAUUUGUAGAGAUUCCAUAUAAAAUUUUAAUUCAAUUCCCUCCAAAUCUCUUGGGGAGAGAUAAGAUUUGUGGAUGAUUAAAAUACACUACAAAAUCUCUCUAAUUCCCUCUAAUUCCCCAACUUUGUCAAAUUCUUUAAAAUCAAAUUCUAAUUGGAUACACCUAGAAUGUUAUAAACUUCUUUAAAAUCUUAAUGGAAUACACCCGGAUUUCUAAGGAUUUUAAUAAACUAUCUUAAAAUCCUAAUUGAAUACGCGUUGAAUUUCAGAUAAUCACUUAAAAUCCUGAUUGAAUACCCCUAGAUUCAUUAAAAGAAUUAAAAUCCCUCAAAAUCCCAAUUGAAUACACCUCCUAAGAUGAGUGUAAAAAAAUAUUACAUAAGUUUAAAUAAAAUUUCCCUUUGACGUCCAAAGCAAGUAUCAUAAAAUAUCAACCAUGUAGUCAUUUAUCAGGUAGGAAAAGCUCACAUGGCAUUGCGUACACUAAUCCUUUGAUCACAUCACAAUCUUUACAAACUUAAGCAUCACAAAUCAUGAUCAGCUAAGUAAUUAACGUUACAUAAUUAACCAUUGUCCACUAAUUAAAAAAACCAAACAUGAUAUGCACGUAGAGAAUGGGCGGUCUAAGAAGAGAAGGCGUCGAUGAUGGUAGUGUGGAGCGGGUCACUCAAAUGGGUAGCCCAGUUGUUAAGCGGGCCCUUUCCGGUCACGGCGGCCUGCACGGCGAACCCGAGGAACCCAACCAUGGCGAGGCGGGCGUGCUUGAUUUCAGCCAGUUGAAG